GGAACUUUGAGAGAAAAAGAUCAUUUCUCACAAGGUUCUAUCUUAUCAAACAAGAAAAAUCAUUUCUCAAGACGAUUUUUAAAAUCUACAGAUACCUGCGCUAGUUACUAACUUUUUAGCCUAGCAACGCAUAUUCAAUAUCCAGUUUCAUCCGGUAGUGAGACAGACAUGGUGGCACAUAUGUGACCUUUUUCAACCAUAUCAUGUUUAGCAGAACUGAAUGUUUGGUUGAUUUCAUUGUUUCAAUAUACGGUUCAUUUCUUUCAAAACUUUUCAUGCAUGUGGAAUCUUAGCAGAGACCAAGCUGUAUCCAAGCUGUGUCAAAGCCCACUGAUGGUGAUCAAUACCAAUGCCUCGAACUAUUAAUGAUCAAUAUCACUGCCACAAACUACUAGUGUCCAAUACCAAAACACCAAUAAUUUGAGAAAGUUCUAAACAGGGAAAGGGAGCAAACAAAAACUCCAUAUUCAAGAAGUACCCUGAUACAACCAAUGGGCAAUGGUUCAGUAAAGCAUGCAGAGGGCUUCCCAAGUCAUCCACAGUUAGAGGUCAAGAUUUCAAACACUGGGGUAAAAUAAGGAUUAGCAAUGCCAUAAUGUCAUAAUAGAAGUUGCAAUGCUUCAAUGCUCUUGUAAAUACAAGAGCACAAUAAAUAAAUAAAUACAUAAGAAAACCCUGAAAAAUGCCCUUGUAAGUAAUGAAGAAUGAAAAAAAAAAACCUAAUUAUCUAGAUGCUACGAAUGGAGACCUCUGAGAAAAAACCUAAAAAUGCAGUUUCAAAGACAAUACUAGAAACAGAUUUGAAAUUUACCUUGGGGUUUUUUACUGUCUCAUCAACACUUAAGACAAGGCAAGCUGCCUCGGUAGCAGCAUUGAUA
rnacentral:lncRNA from 1 species